UGCAUUUGUACUAUUUAUAUUAUAUGUACUAAAAGAAUUUUUGAAGGAUUUUGUAGCCCAUAAUAAAUAUAAUAAAUAUAUGUGUAACUUUCAAAAGUUUAUAAAUGUUAAGAGUCUUAUACAUUUUUACUAUUUAUAUUUCAGUUUAUUGAAACUGUUUCUUUGACAUUCAUUAAUCUUAAACUUGUUUGGCUUAUGUUUACAGUUCCUAAAAAUUAUAUUAGCAUUGUUAAUAUUGAAAUACUUCUUCCUUGCAACCAAUACUUGUUUUGUGAGGGUGGAUACUCCAACCUGCAUCUUGUAAUGUGGUUGGAGAAGACUGAGAGGAAGGGGGGGAGGGGCGUUAAGCUUGGCAUCGUUCCGCCCCUAAUGUCAAUUUAUGCACCACUUGUAUAUUCUGUUAAGUAAAAAAAUAUAAUUUAAAGUCUUUAACACAAAA